AGAGUUUGAUCAUGGCUCAGGAUGAACGCUAGCGGUAUGCUUAACACAUGCAAGUCGUACGGGAGUUUUUAACUCAAGUGGCGGACGGGUGAGUAACACGUGAGAAUUUACCUUUAGGAGGGGGAUAACAAUUGGAAACGAUUGCUAAUACCCCAUAUGCUUUUUUAAGUGAAACGAAUUCUUUCGCCUAAAGAAAAGCUCGCGGCUGAUUAGCUAGUUGGUAAGGUAAUGGCUUACCAAGGCGACGAUCAGUAUCUGGUUUGAGAGGACGAUCAGACACACUGGAACUGAGACACGGUCCAGACUCCUACGGGAGGCAGCAGUGGGGAAUUUUCCGCAAUGGGCGAAAGCCUGACGGAGCAAUACCGCGUGAGGGAAGAAAGCCUACUGGGUUGUAAACCUCUUUUUUCAGGGAGGAAAAAAAUGACGUGUACCUGAAGAAUAAGCAUCGGCUAACUCCGUGCCAGCAGCCGCGGUAAGACGGAGGAUGCAAGUGUUAUCCGGAAUUACUGGGCGUAAAGCGUCUGUAGGUGGUUUAAUAAGUCAACUGUUAAAUCUUGAGGCUUAACUUCAAAACAGCAGUCGAAACUAUUAGACUAGAGUAUAGUAGGGGUAAAGGGAAUUUCCAGUGGAGCGGUGAAAUGCGUAGAUAUUGGAAAGAACACCGAUGGCGAAAGCACUUUACUGGGCUAUUACUAACACUCAGAGACGAAAGCUAGGGUAGCAAAUGGGAUUAGAUACCCCA
rnacentral:rRNA from 1 species